GUCGAGAUGGCCGAGUGGUUAAGGCGCUGUGUUUAGGAGUACGUUACACUCUGACCAUUUGUAUCCAUUUGGUCGCUGGUGACGUCACGAUCCCUUCCCGCAGUCAGAAAUGGCGAGGGUUCGAACCCCUCUCUCGACA